rnacentral:rRNA from 1 species
ACAGGAAGAAGCUUGCUUCUUUGCUGACAAGUGGCGGACGGGUGAGUAAUGUCUGGGAAACUGCCUGAUGGAGGGGGAUAACUACUGGAAACGGUAGCUAAUACCGCAUAACGUCGCAAGACCAAAGAGGGGGACCUUCGGGCCUCUUGCCAUCGGAUGUGCCCAGAUGGGAUUAGCUAGUAGGUGGGGUAACGGCUCACCUAGGCGACGAUCCCUAGCUGGUCUGAGAGGAUGACCAGCCACACUGGAACUGAGACACGGUCCAGACUCCUACGGGAGGCAGCAGUGGGGAAUAUUGCACAAUGGGCGCAAGCCUGAUGCAGCCAUGCCGCGUGUAUGAAGAAGGCCUUCGGGUUGUAAAGUACUUUCAGCGGGGAGGAAGGGAGUAAAGUUAAUACCUUUGCUCAUUGACGUUACCCGCAGAAGAAGCACCGGCUAACUCCGUGCCAGCAGCCGCGGUAAUACGGAGGGUGCAAGCGUUAAUCGGAAUUACUGGGCGUAAAGCGCACGCAGGCGGUUUGUUAAGUCAGAUGUGAAAUCCCCGGGCUCAACCUGGGAACUGCAUCUGAUACUGGCAAGCUUGAGUCUCGUAGAGGGGGGUAGAAUUCCAGGUGUAGCGGUGAAAUGCGUAGA